GGGAUUGUUUUAUACUUUUAGUUCGAACAAAAAUAUAAACUAACAUUUUAGUGAUAAAGUAUGUUAGCAUAAUCGGUGGAUAAUGCUUUCACGCAGUUUGAUUGGUUCUUUGGUUGCUCAGCUGCGGAUAUCCUUGCACUAUUCACCUCCGGACAAAAACAAAAUGUCUUCCCUUUCGCCUAUCCCUACUGUUACAGUUAGUGACUUGGGAGUCACUCUUUCCCAAGUCACUCUUUACAAUUCCUGUUCAGAAUUUUUUAACAGUUUAAGCUAUCCUUUGUUUUGUUUCUAUAUGCAAAAAAAUUAGCCAAGGCAGUCUGCAAGAUGGCAAGCCAUGCCUCAAUAAAGAUUUGUUUAUUUUGUUCAAUUUGCCAGAUCAAGCCAGCGGAGCUUUGCCGGAA